rnacentral:rRNA from 1 species
GUAGCAAUACCUAGUGGCAGACGGGUGAGUAACGCGUGGUCAACCUACCCUCGAGUGGGGGAUAACUAACCGAAAGGUUAGCUAAUACCGCAUGAAACGUAGCACGGCAUCGUGCAACGUUAAAAGGAGCAAUUCGUUUGAGGACGGGACCGCGUCCGAUUAGUUAGUUGGUGGGGUAAUGGCCUACCAAGACUCCGAUCGGUAGCUGGUUUGAGAGAGCGACCAGCCACACUGGGACUGAGAAACGGCCCAGACUCCUACGGGAGGCAGCAGUGAGGAAUUUUCCGCAAUGGGCGCAAGCCUGACGGAGCGACGCCGCGUGUGGGAAGAAGGCCUUCGGG